rnacentral:lncRNA from 1 species
AGGCAGUGCCUCUCCGCAAGAGGCUCUGGGUCUGUGUUGCUGAAUUGGCCUGUGUCCUCAAAGCACGUUCCAGCUUUCAAGGGGAAAAUGACAAGGUGGAAGAUGAGCAAUGGACUGAAUUGCCUAAGGUAACCCAGGCUAACAGAAGCUCCAUCUACUUGCGGCUACAACAGAAGAACAAGUGGCCUCCAACGCCUAUAGUGGCGGAAGAGAGAUCCUGGAGAAAUCUCACAGGCUUUUUGUUUCUCAACAUGGAAAGGAGAGAUACAUGUCUUUUCUACCCUUUUCCGGCUGUAAUGAGUCACAUGUCUCUACUCCCCUUGAAGCUCAGAAGUGCAGUCUUUGUGUCCAAAGUGGCAGAAGAACUGGAUAUUGAUGAACAUUAGUAAUGCUUACCAUGUAUAUUAACCCAGGUGUACACAGAGCCAUGUAAAAUUUGAGUCUCGCACUAUGAAGUUCCAAUCCAG